AAACCCAUAGGCGAACCUGCCCUCUCUGCUCCAUCGAUGACCACCCUUCAGACAACCAUCCUAGUCGCCACACAUUAGCAACAAUAACCCAAACUAGCAGCUGCUGUUUUCUUGAUCUCACAACACUAACAAUUCUCCAUUAAAUUCGAUGAGCUCAGCCAAACCGGCGACGACUACUACUCUUCUUUCUCCAUCGUUUUUCUUAUUUCUCUAUCACAGCUGUGCCAGAGGGUACCAAAUCUGGCAAGAAAUCUGGCGGACAACCAAACUGUAUCCAAAGAUCAAAAUCCAGCAUAAAACAGCCCUUGUGACGUCCAAAACUGUCGUUCAAGCUCAGUCGAAUUGAAUUCGGUGAGAUCCGUUCGGAGCUUCUGAUUGAGGUAUGUUUGAGAUCGUCGUUUGAGGUCUCAGAUCGCUGGUUCUGCCUGUAGUCGCCAGCAGAAUCUCCGAUUCGAGAUUUUUUUGCUGUACAUUUUCUCCGCUCGAGUUUUAACAUUUGGAAUCGCUCUUCGAUGUAUACAUUUGGAGUUUCAUAUAAAUACGCAUAAGGUCUCCUUUCCCCUUUAAUUAAUUAUUUUAUUUCUCUCCUGUAGGUUUACGAACAAGCUCAGUCACUUCAUUAAUAUCUGUG
rnacentral:lncRNA from 1 species